CACCCCCCCACCCCACCACACACACACACAAGUUGCACACUCAUGUUUUUUCUAACACUCUGUGGUAGGUCAUAAAAAUAUAUAUAGUUAUGUUAAAUCUGGUUCACAUCCAAAUCGUGACCAUACCUGGUACGGCCAUGUGUAUCCCACAUCCAAACAAAAAUAUCACACAAACACACACACACACACACACACACACACACACACACACACACACACAAACACACACGUGCAUGUACAGACAAACGCAUGCAUACGAACCUGCUUAUAAAAGUCGAGCAUCCCUCUAGGCUUUAUAAUACUCUGCACUUAGAACAACGUGUGCGAUCUUACAACAUGGCUGAUGUUUGUCCUAACGCGCCGAAAAAAGCUCACCCUUUUUUGGGAAGAAUAGAAAAAAUGUUAGAACAUGAAAAGAUUCAAUAUUGGGUAAUGUCAAACGGAUGUACAGCCGGGUUUUUUUUCGAUGCAGAAAAAGGAACCGUUUUGCUUUUCAAGUUCUCGGUCCCGGGAACACACGAUCUUUUCCUUUCACGUAGAAUAUGAAGCACUCCGAGUCAGGCCUAGGUCAAAAGGUCAACAACGUAAAACCCCCGUUCUGAUGCAUUCCCGAGCACAAACACACCCCACACACACACACACACUCGAAUGGAUACGAACCUGUUUAUAAAGUCGAGCACUUCGAAAGUUUUAACAUCGGAAAAGGUUCGACCGAAUUUCCAGAGUCAGUUCUUCACUACUUCGAAAGUUUGAACAUCGGCAAAGUUCAACAGAAUUUCCAGAGUCUAUCCUUCACUACUUCCAGACACCAUGGAUUUCUCGGCAGGUAAAAAUUUGUAUUUUAAUCAAUUAAUAGUUAAAUAUAAAUUGAAAUACAAUGUUUAUGUAAUUAUCCAGUAGGCAAUGAUAUUGAUAUAAACUUAGAACUAAUCAUUCUGAGUACAAAAAUCAUCAUACUUAUCUGGUCAUUAUGUAAUCUGGUACGAUACUUUAUCUAAAUUGUAAAUAUUCAUUACAUUUAUAUUACAGUGCAAGACCGAGUUAAGCUCAUCUGAUUCUAGUGUAUAGGUAAUUAAAAUUGGUCUCUUAGAUCUAUGUAGUGAUCUAAAAUGAGAAUGUUAAGUUAUUAAAAAUAUGUUUUACUGUUUUAUAGACAGCUUGGUGAUUAUUUCUGAUGAUGAGAUUCCCGAAACAACCACUCAUGACCUUUUGAAUCUGAGUUCCACACAAUUUGAGGGAAACGUGACUAACAGUGAUUAUGACGGAGAUAUUUCAGAUACGAGUGAUGCAAUAGAAGACCAAGAGGAAAUCAUCUCGGAAACCGACAUUCAACAAGACAUCGAACUACAACAGAUCUGCACAGUGUGGCGUGAAUUCUUCGAAGCAAAGACUGAUUUAUUGGAAAACUUUGGACAGAUUGAUUAUACACUUGAUUCUGGUCGAGGUACAGAUUUUAUCCCUUUACUGUACAGCACGCUUGAAAAUGUGAAUAGAUGUCUCACAGUGAGCAUAAAGUUGAUUAGAAAAUUGUAUGAUAGAUAUGGCACAGAAACGACUGAAAUGCAGUUCGGAUAUGGAGACUAAAAAAAAGAGAACCGAAAAUUCUCCAUUAUCACAUGAUUUCUUUUAUGACGGAAACCAGAGUUUUUCAAAUGAUUCGCACACACUCCUGAACCCAUGUUUAACUGAAGCGAUCAACCGGCUGAACGAAAGUUUAAUUCCGUCACACCAAGUCAUUAGUGAGAGACCUAAUCAGAGUCCAAAUCACGUCGUAUCAAACACAACGGUGACGCCAAAUGAUAUAAUUUCUGAAUUAAAUCAAUGUCUGUUAGAGUUACAUAAUAACCUAAAUGAACACGGUCAUUCAGUACAAAUAAACCCUGAUCUAAUCGAUGCAGUCAAUCAGUUGAAUGAAAAUUUAAGAUCGUCAGAACAGAGCAAUACUCAAAAUGAAAACCCCAGUCAAAAUUCCAGUCAAACUGUAUCAAGUACGCCGGUGACGUCGCACGACAUAUUUUUCGAAUUAAAUCAAUGUCUGUUAGAGCUACAAAAUAACCUAAUUGAACAAAGAGAAUCUAUGCAGAUAAAUCCAUGUUUAAUAGACGUGGUGAAUCAAAUCAAUGAAAAUAUGUCAUUAUCUCCCGUUCAGAAUAUCGUCUCGACUCCAGAAAACGCUCAGGAACCUAGACCGUUAUGUUCUCAUGAUAUGAUACACGAACUUAAUCAAAGUCUUAUGAGGAUAAAUGACGGUCUUGUUAACUUAAUCGAAAACCCUGACAAUAUUGCACAAAAAACGAUAAUGAACGCAACCGCCCAAUGGAAAACAUACACUCACAUAAUACCCAAGAUUCUCAAAUGGAAAACACACAUUCGCCCAAUACCCAAGAUUCUCAAGUGGAAAACUCGCCCGAUAUCCAAGUAGAGCAAGAGGGUGAUGGAUUAGAUCCUAAUAUUAGAAUAAUUAAUCGGGAAAGAUUCAACAACACUGAGAUUAGGAGAAGAGUGAAUUUUUCUUCUAUCGCGAACGUUGACAGCUUUGCAGAUUUUUAUAAUUAUGUUUUAGAGAUUUUAAACAGCGCGAUUGAAAUCGCUAACAAUUUAAUUUCUGCCAAGGAUGUAGUCACCGUUUAAAUUAGAGGUGAUACGAUCAAUGUUUCAUCACGCGUUCAAUUAGACAAUGGUGUCAUCGAUUUAGGUUCUUUUCUGACCAUGCUCGAAAAUGCAAUUCAGAGUAAACGUGAAAUUUUUACCGAUAAUACCCUUGAAAUAGUUGUCCAAAUCGUUCGACCACCUCGGGGUGGUGGAAUUAGAAGGAAAAUAGGCCAUAUAUUCAAAACAGAAACCCUGCAGAAGAAAAUGCAGCAUCUAUACAUUUUUCACAACAGAGACAAC